rnacentral:lncRNA from 1 species
AACCCAGGGUUCACUAGAGCGCAGAUCAUCAGCGUGAGAUGCAAUCAUCAGCUCUGCUUUCUUUCGACAUCCGGAACAAGGCUAAGACGGACAUUGGGUGUGUGAACAUUGAAUUGGCAGAAAACAGUCAGGAUUGACUUUGAGCCAUCAGGAUGCUGUCGGUUGUGGUCUGUCUACAGCUGUUACUGGCCCUCGCUUUUAUGGUGAGUGAAAUAUUGCAGUAGUCUAUAACAGCAGUCAAUAAAUUACACUUACAUCAUCAUGUAGGAAAUCUGAAACAGAGACAUGUAACUGUUAAGCAAAACAUCCCAGCACAUGGUGUGAGAGGACAAACCUCAUCUGCUUUAAAAUUGAUGUCUAAAAGCUGGCCACAUUUCAUAUACUCAGAAACAUAGUACAGAAAUACUGAACUGUUUGUUCAGGGACAUAUGUAAUAUUAAAAUACAGCAGUGGCCCCUAAAAUAUUUGAGGACAUUUGAGCACUUAAGUCACACUUAAAGUCGCAAUGAAACUGAUUUUUUCUUCUAUAUUAUGAUGUACAUCUGCCUGUGGGGGGCGGGACUUUCUAUGCAUCAGUUGUUGAUUGGAUGUUGAGAUGUGGGUGUGGCUCUCAGUUUAAUCUCAUUAGAUGAAUGGAGAUAUCCUGUCUGCAUAGUUUAAAAAAAAAAAUGAAACAUGUAUAUGGAUGAAUUGCUGUCAACACACAAGAAAAUGUGUUAAGAAAAUAGAUUAGAAAAUUGAAUUUUUAUUUCAUGGCAACUUUGUAUUAGUGCUGCAUUCAGAAAAUCCUAUACAUUGACUUUCCGGUUAAGUGUUUGGAUGUUUCCAAAUAUCUUCAAGUUUGAUCUGCACUAAAGUGCUCCACUUAUCUCAAUGUUUUAAUUUUUUUUUCCCACAUCACACAGGUGUUUUAGCAGAGCAACUACAGUUGUACUUCAUCACUUUAACAACAUAAUCACACAGCUACUUUCCAAAUCAAUGACACACAUGAAAAAUUAUUAUUUAAUUGAG